UGGCUUAGAGGUUAAAGCGUCUGCCUCCAAUGUGGGAGACCCGGGUUCAAUCCCUGG
rnacentral:tRNA from 1 species